rnacentral:rRNA from 1 species
GACGAACGCUGGCGGCGUGCUUAACACAUGCAAGUCGAACGAAGAGCGAUGGAUGCUUGCUUCUAUCAAUCUUAGUGGCGAACGGGUGAGUAACGCGUAAUCAACCUGCCCUUCAGAGGGGGACAACAGUUGGAAACGACUGCUAAUACCGCAUACGAUCUAAUCUCGGCAUCGAGGAAAGAUGAAAGGUGGCCUCUAUUUAUAAGCUAUCACUGAAGGAGGGGAUUGCGUCUGAUUAGCUAGUUGGAGGGGUAACGGCCCACCAAGGCGAUGAUCAGUAGCCGGUCUGAGGGGAUGAACGGCCACAUUGGGACUGAGACACGGCCCAGACUCCUACGGGAGGCAGCAGUGGGGAAUCUGCCGCAAUGGACGAAAGUCUGACGGAGCAACGCCGCGUGAGUGAUGACGGCCUUCGGGUUGUAAAGCUCUGUUAAUCGGGACGAAAGGCCUUCUUGCGAACAGUUAGAAGGAUUGACGGUACCGGAAUAGAAAGCCACGGCUAACUACGUG